GGGUUGUGAGGUUAAGCGACUAAGCGUACACGGUGGAUGCCCUGGCAGUCAGAGGCGAUGAAGGACGUGCUAAUCUGCGAAAAGCGUCGGUAAGGUGAUAUGAACCGUUAUAACCGGCGAUGUCCGAAUGGGGAAACCCAGUGCAAUUCGUUGCACUAUCGUUAACUGAAUACAUAGGUUAACGAGGCGAACCGGGGGAACUGAAACAUCUAAGUACCCCGAGGAAAAGAAAUCAACCGAGAUUCCCCCAGUAGCGGCGAGCGAACGGGGAGCAGCCCAGAGUCUGAAUCAGCUUGUGUGUUAGUGGAACGGUCUGGAAAGUCCGACGGUACAGGGUGAUAGUCCCGUACACCAAAAUGCACAGGUUGUGAACUCGAAGAGUAGGGCGGGACACGUGGUAUCCUGUCUGAAUAUGGGGGGACCAUCCUCCAAGGCUAAAUACUCCUGACUGACCGAUAGUGAACCAGUACCGUGAGGGAAAGGCGAAAAGAACCCCGGCGAGGGGAGUGAAAAAGAACCUGAAACCGUGUACGUACAAGCAGUGGGAGCACCUUCGGGUGUGACUGCGUACCUUUUGUAUAAUGGGUCAGCGACUUAUAUUCUGUAGCAAGGUUAACCGUAUAGGGGAGCCGCAGGGAAACCGAGUCUUAACUGGGCGUUAAGUUGCAGGGUAUAGACCCGAAACCCGGUGAUCUAGCCAUGGGCAGGUUGAAGGUUGGGUAACACUAACUGGAGGACCGAACCGACUAAUGUUGAAAAAUUAGCGGAUGACUUGUGGCUGGGGGUGAAAGGCCAAUCAAACCGGGAGAUAGCUGGUUCUCCCCGAAAGCUAUUUAGGUAGCGCCUCGUGAACUCAUCUUCGGGGGUAGAGCACUGUUUCGGCUAGGGGGUCAUCCCGACUUACCAACCCGAUGCAAACUACGAAUACCGAAGAAUGUUAUCACGGGAGACACACGGCGGGUGCUAACGUCCGUCGUGAAGAGGGAAACAACCCAGACCGCCAGCUAAGGUCCCAAAGUCAUGGUUAAGUGGGAAACGAUGUGGGAAGGCACAGACAGCCAGGAUGUUGGCUUAGAAGCAGCCAUCAUUUAAAGAAAGCGUAAUAGCUCACUGGUCGAGUCGGCCUGCGCGGAAGAUGUAACGGGGCUAAACCAUGCACCGAAGCUGCGGCAGCGACACUAUGUGUUGUUGGGUAGGGGAGCGUUCUGUAAGCCUGCGAAGGUGUGCUGUGAGGCAUGCUGGAGGUAUCAGAAGUGCGAAUGCUGACAUAAGUAACGAUAAAGCGGGUGAAAAGCCCGCUCGCCGGAAGACCAAGGGUUCCUGUCCAACGUUAAUCGGGGCAGGGUGAGUCGACCCCUAAGGCGAGGCCGAAAGGCGUAGUCGAUGGGAAACAGGUUAAUAUUCCUGUACUUGGUGUUACUGCGAAGGGGGGACGGAGAAGGCUAUGUUAGCCGGGCGACGGUUGUCCCGGUUUAAGCAUGUAGGCUGAUUGUCCAGGCAAAUCCGGAUAAUCAAGGCUGAGGUGUGAUGACGAGGCACUACGGUGCUGAAGUAACAAAUGCCCUGCUUCCAGGAAAAGCCUCUAAGCAUCAGGUAACAUCAAAUCGUACCCCAAACCGACACAGGUGGUCAGGUAGAGAAUACCAAGGCGCUUGAGAGAACUCGGGUGAAGGAACUAGGCAAAAUGGUGCCGUAACUUCGGGAGAAGGCACGCUGGUGUGUAGGUGAAGUCCCUGCGGAUGGAGCUGAGACCAGUCGAAGAUACCAGCUGGCUGCAACUGUUUAUUAAAAACACAGCACUGUGCAAACACGAAAGUGGACGUAUACGGUGUGACGCCUGCCCGGUGCCGGAAGGUUAAUUGAUGGGGUUAUCCGUAAGGAGAAGCUCUUGAUCGAAGCCCCGGUAAACGGCGGCCGUAACUAUAACGGUCCUAAGGUAGCGAAAUUCCUUGUCGGGUAAGUUCCGACCUGCACGAAUGGCGUAAUGAUGGCCAGGCUGUCUCCACCCGAGACUCAGUGAAAUUGAACUCGCUGUGAAGAUGCAGUGUACCCGCGGCAAGACGGAAAGACCCCGUGAACCUUUACUAUAGCUUGACACUGAACAUUGAGCCUUGAUGUGUAGGAUAGGUGGGAGGCUUUGAAGCGUGGACGCCAGUCUGCGUGGAGCCAACCUUGAAAUACCACCCUUUAAUGUUUGAUGUUCUAACGUUGGCCCCUGACCGGGGUUGCGGACAGUGUCUGGUGGGUAGUUUGACUGGGGCGGUCUCCUCCCAAAGCGUAACGGAGGAGCACGAAGGUUAGCUAAUCCUGGUCGGACAUCAGGAGGUUAGUGCAAUGGCAUAAGCUAGCUUGACUGCGAGCGUGACGGCGCGAGCAGGUGCGAAAGCAGGUCAUAGUGAUCCGGUGGUUCUGAAUGGAAGGGCCAUCGCUCAACGGAUAAAAGGUACUCCGGGGAUAACAGGCUGAUACCGCCCAAGAGUUCAUAUCGACGGCGGUGUUUGGCACCUCGAUGUCGGCUCAUCACAUCCUGGGGCUGAAGUAGGUCCCAAGGGUAUGGCUGUUCGCCAUUUAAAGUGGUACGCGAGCUGGGUUUAGAACGUCGUGAGACAGUUCGGUCCCUAUCUGCCGUGGGCGCUGGAGAAUUGAGGGGGGCUGCUCCUAGUACGAGAGGACCGGAGUGGACGCAUCACUGGUGUUCGGGUUGUCAUGCCAAUGGCACUGCCCGGUAGCUAAAUGCGGAAGAGAUAAGUGCUGAAAGCAUCUAAGCACGAAACUUGCCCCGAGAUGAGUUCUCCCUGAGAC
rnacentral:rRNA from 1 species